rnacentral:rRNA from 1 species
UACAUGGGGUGCAAACGUUGCUCGGAAUUAUUGGGCGUAAAGCGCACGUAGGCGGUUAUUCAAGUCGGAUGUGAAAGCCCUUGGCUCAACCGAGGAAGUGCACCCGAAACUGGAUAGCUAGAGUACGAAAGAGGGUCGCGGAAUUCCUGGUGUAGCGGUGAAAUGCGCAGAUAUCAGGAGGAACACCGGUGGCGAAGGCGGAUCUCUGGGCCAUUACUGACGCUGAGGAGCGAAAGCGUGGGGAGCGAACAGG